rnacentral:rRNA from 1 species
AGCAGCCGCGGUAAUUCCAGCUCCAAUAGCGUAUAUUAAAGUUGUUGCAGUUAAAAAGCUCGUAGUUGAACUUCGGGAUCAAUGGAUUGGUCAUGCCGAUGGUGUGUACUGGUCAUAUUGGUUCUCACCUUCUAAGGAACCAUAAUGUCAUUUAUUUGAUGUUGUGGGGAAUUAGGACUGUUACCUUGAAAAAAUUAGAGUGUUUAAAGCAGGCUAACGCUUGAAUACAUUAGCAUGGAAUAAUGAAAUAGGACAUCGCAUUCUAUUUUGUUGGUUUCUAGGAUCGAUGUAAUGAUUAAUAGGGAUAGUUGGGGGCAUUAGUAUUCAAUUGUCAGAGGUGAAAUUCUUGGAUUUAUUGAAGACUAACUACUGCGAAAGCAUUUUGCCAAGGAUGUUUUCAUUAAUCAAGAACGAAAGUUAGGGGAUCGAAGACGAUCAGAUACCGUCGUAGUCUUAACCAUAAACUAUGCCGACUAGGGAUCGGAUGAUGUUAUUUUUUAAUGACUCAUUCGGCGCCUUA